rnacentral:rRNA from 1 species
AGUGAACGCUGGCGGUAGGCCUAACACAUGCAAGUCGAACGGCAGCACAGGAGAGCUUGCUCUCUGGGUGGCGAGUGGCGGACGGGUGAGGAAUACAUCGGAAUCUACUCUGUCGUGGGGGAUAACGUAGGGAAACUUACGCUAAUACCGCAUACGACCUACGGGUGAAAGCAGGGGACCUUCGGGCCUUGCGCGAUUGAAUGAGCCGAUGUCGGAUUAGCUAGUUGGCGGGGCAAAGGCCCACCAAGGCGACGAUCCGUAGCUGGUCUGAGAGGAUACUAGGCCACACUGGAACUGAGACACGGUCCAGACUCCUACGGGAGGCAGCAGUGGGGAAUAUUGGACAAUGGGCGCAAGCCUGAUCCAGCCAUACCGCGUGGGUGAAGAAGGCCUUCGGGUUGUAAAGCCCUUUUGUUGGGAAAGAAAUCCAGCUGGCUAAUACCCGGUUGGGAUGACGGUACCCAAAGAAUAAGCACCGGCUAACUUCGUGCCAGCCGCCGCCGUAA